rnacentral:rRNA from 1 species
AUUGAACGCUGGCGGCAUGCCUUACACAUGCAAGUCGAACGGUAACGCGGGGCAACCUGGCGACGAGUGGCGAACGGGUGAGUAAAGCAUCGGAACGUGCCCAAUAGUGGGGGAUAGCCCGGCGAAAGCCGGAUUAAUACCGCAUACGACCGGAGGGUGAAAGCGGGGGAUCGCAAGACCUCGCGCUGAUGGAGCGGCCGAUGUCAGAUUAGGUAGUCGGUGGGGUAAAGGCCUACCAAGCCGACGAUCUGUAGCUGGUCUGAGAGGACGACCAGCCACACUGGGACUGAGACACGGCCCAGACUCCUACGGGAGGCAGCAGUGGGGAAUUUUGGACAAUGGGGGAAACCCUGAUCCAGCCAUGCCGCGUGCGGGAAGAAGGCCUUCGGGUUGUAAACCGCUUUUGUUGGGGAAGAAAUCCCUCAGGCUAAUACCUUGAGGGGAUGACGGUACCCGAAGAAUAAGCACCGGCUAACUACGUGCCAGCAGCCGCCGUAA